ACGUAGGGGACAAGCGUUAUCCGGAAUCACUGGGCGUAAAGGGUGCGUAGGCGGUUUAACAAGUCAGAAGUGAAAGGCAUUGGCUCAACCAAUGUAAGCUUUUGAAACUGUUAGACUUGAGUGCAGGAGAGGAAAGUGGAAUUCCUAGUGUAGCGGUGAAAUGCGUAGAUAUUAGGAGGAACACCAGUAGCGAAGGCGACUUUCUGGACUGUAACUGACGCUGAGGCACGAAAGCGUGGGGAGCGAACAGG
rnacentral:rRNA from 1 species